rnacentral:RNase_P_RNA from 1 species
GGUGGCGCCGUAGGCAACACACCAUAAAAGGAGGAAGUCCAUCCACACAAAAACUGCACCACAGUGAUGUGGCUCGCUAAAUGCGUGGGCAACCGAACAGAAACGGACCCUUGCAGCCAUGAUGGAAUGAAGGUUUCAGACGUCGGCUGCUUUUGGGAUGAAACGGCGGACCUGCAGGUGCAAACCCGAAAGGGCGCUUAGUCGAAUGUUGCCAUACGUUAUGAUGAUUCCAGCAAGGGAGGAAACGUCACAGAAGAUGGGCUAUUCGGCGCCACC